AGGGAGCUUCUUCUGCAGGCACGGUCCUCUCGCUUCUUCCCUACUGAAAAGAGGUUUACAACCCGAAGGCCGUCAUUAAACAAACGGCGUCGCUGCAUCAGGCUUCCGCCCAUUGUGCAAUAUUCCCCACUGCUGCCUCCCGUAGGGGGGCGGGGGCGGCGGGCCGGGCGCG
rnacentral:rRNA from 1 species